GCCUGGGUGGCUCAGUCGGUUGGGCAUCCGACUUUGGCUCAGGUCAUGAUCUCACGGUUUGUGAGUUCGAGCCCCGCCUCAGGCU
rnacentral:tRNA from 1 species